rnacentral:tRNA from 1 species
GGGGUUAUAGUUAUAAUAAUAACAUUUAAUUUGCAAUUAAAAAAUACUAUAAAAAAUAGUUAUCCUCA